AUUGAACGCUGGCGGCAGGCCUAACACAUGCAAGUCGAACGGUAACAGGAAGCAGCUUGCUGCUUUGCUGACGAGUGGCGGACGGGUGAGUAAUGUCUGGGAAACUGCCCGAUGGAGGGGGAUAACUACUGGAAACGGUAGCUAAUACCGCAUAACGUCGCAAGACCAAAGAGGGGGACCUUAGGGCCUCUUGCCAUCGGAUGUGCCCAGAUGGGAUUAGCUAGUAGGUGGGGUAACGGCUCACCUAGGCGACGAUCCCUAGCUGGUCUGAGAGGAUGACCAGCCACACUGGAACUGAGGCCCGGUCCAGACUCCUACGGGAGGCAGCAGUGGGGAAUAUUGCACAAUGGGCGCAAGCCUGAUGCAGCCAUGCCGCGUGUAUGAAGAAGGCCUUCGGGUUGUAAAGUACUUUCAGCGGGGAGGAAGGGAGUAAAGUUAAUACCUUUGCUCAUUGACGUUACCCGCAGAAGAAGCACCGGCUAACUCCGUG
rnacentral:rRNA from 1 species